rnacentral:tRNA from 1 species
GGCGGGGUAGCUCAGGUGGUUAGAGCGUAGGAUUCAUAACCCUAAGGCCGGGAGUUCAACUCUCCCCUCCGCUA